GGCCUCAUGGUCCAGAGGUACCAUACUUGCUUUGGGCUGCGGUGAUGCAAGUGACCUGGGUCCGAUUCCCGGUGAGGCCC